GUAAUUUUGUGAGUUUCAGGAGUAGCAUUAUUCGAAGUAAUUAAAUUUAUCUUCGAUGUAAUGUUGUUCUCUUCUAUUUGUAAAAGUGCAUCUCGGCCCCUUGCUUCUUCUUCCAUGCGAAUUUUCAUUAUCAAGGUUUCAAGAGAGGUUUCUUUUUGUUUGUGGUGCAUAGUUUUUUGAAAUUCCUUCCAAGAAGGUGGAAGUUUA
rnacentral:misc_RNA from 1 species